rnacentral:rRNA from 1 species
GAUGAACGCUGGCGGCGUGCCUAAUACAUGCAAGUCGAGCGGACGGACGAGAAGUUUCCUUCUGUUAUGUUAGCGUCGGACGGGUGAGUGACAAGUGAAUAACCUGUCUAUAAGACUGAACUAACGUAUGGAACCGGGAACUAAUAUCUGAUGAUAUUUUGAACCGCAUGGUUCAGCAGGGAAAGACGGUCGUUCUGUCACUUGUAGAUGAAGCCGCGCUGUAUUAGCUGGUUGUUGAGGUAGCGGCUUACUACGGCCACGAUGCAUAGUCGACCUCAGAGGGUGAGCGUCCACGCUCGCACUGAGACAGAGACCAGACCCAGACGGGUGGCAGCAGUAGGGAAGGGUCAGAAAUGGGAGAAAGCGUGACGGAGCAACGCCGCGGGAGUGAUGAAGGUCUUCGCAUCGUAAAACUCUGUUACUAGGGAAGAACAUAUGUGUAAGUAACUGUGCACAUCGUGACGGUAGUUAUUCAAAAAGCCACGGCUAACUACGUG